rnacentral:rRNA from 1 species
UACGAAGGGUGCAAGCGUUAAUCGGAAUUACUGGGCGUAAAGCGCGCGUAGGUGGUUCGUUAAGUUAGGAGUGAAAGCCCCCGGGCUCAACCUGGGAAUUGCUUCUAAAACUGGCGAGCUAGAGUAUGGUAGAGGGUGGUGGAAUUUCCUGUGUAGCGGUGAAAUGCGUAGAUAUAGGAAGGAACAUCAGUGGCGAAGGCGACCACCUGGACUGAUACUGACACUGAGGUGCGAAAGCGUGGGGAGCAAACAGGAUUAGAUACCCCGGUAGUCCCUGA